rnacentral:lncRNA from 1 species
UGCAUUGAGUGCAGUUGGUGCAAAGAUGUGCGUCUGCUCUACACAGGAAAAAAAGAAAAAGAAAAAAAUUCCAUCUGUCUGUAUUUGAAAUCAGCUCGCCAGCCUGUAGUUGGUCGAACCCCACCCAGAUGGUGCUGCGCAAAUGUAUGUUAAAAGAUAUCUUAUAUUAGUGUUGUGGGUGUCCAAUUUUUUUUGAAUGCCAUUUAGCCAAUGUGCCCAACCUGCUGCACAGAGAAAUCGUGACAAAAUAAAGAUAUGCUGAAGAGUUUCUAUUUCAAGGGCCAGAUCCUGCAAACAGUUCUGGAUGUCUUCCACUGAUCUGCUGAUGGAAGGAGCUGAAGAGCAGGCUAGUAAGGACAGUGCCAUUGUGGAGAGCAACUGUGUCGUUUUAACAACCUGGCCUAGUCUCUGCAGUGACUGAAGGAGCCAAAGUUCUGAGAUUGCUCAUGAACCUGGGUUUCUGGUGUGAAAGAAUCUUGCUCAUGUUUAUUACCUUGUGGAAACUUAAAAUGUAAUAUCCCAAGGGGUGUACACAAGGGGGGACAAGCAGGGGCACGCCCCCUACCCCCCGUAAUCAGCAGAGGAGUUCUGUGCCCACACUGCAACCAAGUAGUUGUGGAUGCAUUUAUUCGGCUGGCUCCACGGCGCAUGAAUUUUCAUUGAAACGGGCAAAUAACUCAAGCUAUGAUUGUUCUGUGUUAACAGUGGGCAUACAACAAUCAUUACCAUACCAGAGCCAACUUUUGCCCCAGCUACCACAUACUGUCAUGGCCUACAUUUGUCAACUGGCGUUUGCUUUGCACAUGAAAACGCAUGUUGAAGUCUCUAAUGAGCUGCUGAUGGGACAAAAAUAUCUAAUUUAUAAAUCGGAAGUGAGGAACAAAGGAAUGAACUGA